AGAUCUCUCCGUCGGAAUCCGAGUCUCCGUCUUUCUCUUUCGUCGAUUUCAAUGCAACCCCUGUGCUUUUAGAGAAAGACUUGGAAGAAGAUUGAUUAGUAGGAAAAGUCAUCUCAUAAGUUUGCAAAGCACCUACUAAUUCUUCGACCUUCAUCUCGUCCGGAUGCUUGACCGUUUCGAUCGCGGCUACUUUAGCCCGAAAACGUUCCGGAAGAGUGCGAAGGAUUUUCCUAACAACCUUUGAAUCCGGGAUUUUCUCUCCCAAGU
rnacentral:lncRNA from 1 species